GAUGAACGCUGGCGGCGUGCUUAACACAUGCAAGUCGCGGGGCAGCGAGGGGAUUGGCAACAAUCCCUGUCGGCGACCGGCGCAAGGGUGCGUAACGCGUGAGCAACAUGCCCGUCUCAGGGGGAUAACCGGUGGAAACGCCGCCUAAUACCCCAUGGCGAUAUAUUGAGGCAUCUUGAUAUAUCUAAAGCUCCGGCGGAGACGGAUUGGCUCGCGUGACAUUAGCUGGACGGCGGGGUAACGGCCCACCGUGGCAACGAUGUCUAGGGGUUCUGAGAGGAAGGUCCCCCACACUGGAACUGAGACACGGUCCAG
rnacentral:rRNA from 1 species